UGAAGAUUGAGCUUCACACAGCCUAAAACUUCCUCCUGUGUCCAACAUCUGUCAGCCUGUGGGUGGGUAACUGAUCCCAGGAGUCUCCGAGAAUAUUAGAAGAGGAGGAUUUCCAGACAGAAAUCGCAAACCAAAUCAUCAGGACCUGAAUAUCAUCGGCCUUUGAAUCUAGAAGGAGAAAUGUUUGUCUGUUCUGUCUGAUUG